rnacentral:rRNA from 1 species
ACGUAGGUAACCUGCCUGGUAGCGGGGGAUAACUAUUGGAAACGGUAGCUAAUACCGCAUAAGAGUAGAUGUUGCAUGACAUUUGCUUAAAAGGUGCAAUUGCAUCACUACCAGAUGGACCUGCGUUGUAUUAGCUAGUUGGUGGGGUAACGGCUCACCAAGGCGACGAUACAUAGCCGACCUGAGAGGGUGAUCGGCCACACUGGGACUGAGACACGGCCCAG